UCGGCAGCUGACCGUCUGGGGUCUCGGGCGGGGGGGGGCUGCAGUUUUUCCCGGCUUGGAGCAAGUGUGCGGGGCCGGGAGGAGAGCCAGGGGGAAGCGGGCCGGGCCUGGGGCUGCGGCUGCGGCCGCGGGGCUGCGGCUCCCCAGCCCCGCCAGCCGGAGCGUUCGGAGGUAGAGGAAAGGUCUUGACAGGGUGGCUGGACCAGUGGCAGACUCAAAUCCAGGUCAAGUGUAUGGCUGUCUGAGGUGUUGGAACAGAAGGAGGUCCAUUCCUGUUGGUGACAACACUGUGGCCCUGUUCUGGGAUGACCGAGGUGUAAAGGUUUCCCCCAAGAGAGAGCAGCCGACUCCUUGCAUCUUGUGGCAGCUGGUGUGCCCAGCACUGAGUCCAUCGGAGCUGAAGGCAGCCUGGCCCCUUCUCAUGGGCAGCGCCCACCUGUGCUGAAGUCCUACAGCGGUGGCAGU